CCCUUAGAUGUCCUGGGCUGCACGCGCGCUACACUGAUGUGUCCAGUAAGCACCUAACCUCUUCCGAAAGGAACGGGUAACCUUUGCAAAGAACAUCGUGAUGGGGAUAGAUUAUUGCAAUUAUUAGUCUUGAACGAGGAAUUCCUAGUAAGCACAAGUCAUCAGCUUGUGUUGAUUACGUCCCUGCCCUUUGUACACACCGCCCGUCGCUCCUACCGAUUGAAUGUUCCGGUGAGCUCUUCGGACUGCGCGGUCUGCAGUUUCUGCGUUCCGUGCGGAAAGUUGCGCAAACCUUAACAUUUAGAGGAAGGAGAAGUCGUAACA
rnacentral:rRNA from 1 species